UCUUCCGUAGUCUAGUGGUUAUGAUUUCCGCUUGUCAACAAAUCGCGGACGGCCCGGGUUCGAUUCCCGGCGGGAGAG
rfam:Verruconis gallopava strain CBS 43764 unplaced genomic scaffold supercont1.3, whole genome shotgun sequence.